AAAUUGAAGAGUUUGAUCAUGGCUCAGAUUGAACGCUGGCGGCAGGCCUAACACAUGCAAGUCGAGCGGUAGCACAGAGAGCUUGCUCUCGGGUGACGAGCGGCGGACGGGUGAGUAAUGUCUGGGAAACUGCCUGAUGGAGGGGGAUAACUACUGGAAACGGUAGCUAAUACCGCAUAAUGUCGCAAGACCAAAGUGGGGGACCUUCGGGCCUCAUGCCAUCAGAUGUGCCCAGAUGGGAUUAGCUAGUAGGUGGGGUAACGGCUCACCUAGGCGACGAUCCCUA
rnacentral:rRNA from 1 species